GUGUUUUCACUCCCAUCACUCACCACAGGUCGAUUAGUUGGCAUCCUGACAACUCAGCUCUCCAUUUGGCUUGGUGACCCCUUACCUCGACGCAACUGUGCCUCCAGUGAGUUGAAGCAGGAGGACCUCGGACACCUGGCAGAGCUCCAUUUUAUGGAUAAGUUUCACAAGUUCGUAUAAUCUGCAAGAACAGAUGUUUUUCAAGGAGCAAGAGGCAAUCACUAGGUAGCUGUACCCACCUAUCCAAAUCACUCGUUUCUCAGGCUAUCAGUGAAGAGCCACCAACUGACAGACUCAGGAGCCUCUUCUCAAUCCAGCAUAUUCCAGGAUGCUUUCCAAUGACUAACAAGUUCAAGGUAGCACCGUUGGAAGAUGAGGUUCAAGGAGAAGAGGAGCAAAGACGGCAGAUAGAUAACAACUGGCUACAGAAACUCCCUGAGAUAGUCAACUUAGAAUCCAACAUAAUACAGAGUGGGGAGCCCGAAACAGAGGGAGACGAAUUCUCUCGUCCCAAGAAGAAAUUAAGGCAAUUUACCAACCAUCUGAGGUCCCGCCAUGACUUGCCGAUGUCCCACUGUGACUUGCCAAGGCUCCGCCAUGACUUGCCGAGCUGUCCAAUAUC